CUUGUUUUCUUACCGCGAGCUCUGGCAUUUUCCUAGUGGUCUUUCUUGCCCCACUCCUUCCUCAUUUAGUCGUUUGUUUGCACUUGAUUGUUAGCUAAUUGUACUACUUGUCUGUAGUGCUUUGUUUAUUAAGCCUUUUCUUUUGUACUUUGUAUAUUUAUUGUUCUACCUACUCGGCAGUCGCACUUUUAUUCGUACUUUGCUGGAAUAAAGACGCAGGACUCUAUUUUCGUGACAGGCUUGAAUCUUACACGUCUAGAGUGGAGACAUCUCUAUACGGAAGAGGACGAUGCGUAAUCGCAGCGAUCCGUGUAUUGACACAGCUCUUGGGCGGUGUGGCGACAGACAACGUCCUGGCGCUGCCGUCCUGACACUGGAGCCAGAUGCGCUGGGUCCGGGUUCGGUCAGUGACGCAGCGCCACUCCUGGGUCUCUCUCCGGCUCCAGUACCUCCCGGUGUAACCCCCGCCGAUCCAGUUGGGGAGCAGGUGGCUCGUCCUGAGUGGCGUGGGUCGGCUGUGCACUGAGUGACUCUGUGGCGUCAUUGGAGAAAGCGGUGCAACUCCUGCUCAGGAAUAGCAGGAGCGCAAGGAGUUGGACUCUACUAGUUGGGCGGGUCAUGACUGC